rnacentral:rRNA from 1 species
ACAGUGAAACUGCGAAUGGCUCAUUAAAUCAGUUAUCGUUUAUUUGAUAGUACCUUACUACUUGGAUAACCGUGGUAAUUCUAGAGCUAAUACAUGCUUAAAAUCCCGACUGUUUGGAAGGGAUGUAUUUAUUAGAUAAAAAAUCAAUGUCUUCGGACUCUUUGAUGAUUCAUAAUAACUUUUCGAAUCGCAUGGCCUUGUGCUGGCGAUGGUUCAUUCAAAUUUCUGCCCUAUCAACUUUCGAUGGUAGGAUAGUGGCCUACCAUGGUUUCAACGGGUAACGGGGAAUAAGGGUUCGAUUCCGGAGAGGGAGCCUGAGAAACGGCUACCACAUCCAAGGAAGGCAGCAGGCGCGCAAAUUACCCAAUCCCGACACGGGGAGGUAGUGACAAUAAAUAACGAUACAGGGCCCUUUCGGGUCUUGUAAUUGGAAUGAGUACAAUGUAAAUACCUUAACGAGGAACAAUUGGAGGGCAAGUCUGGUGCCAGCAGCCGCGGUAAUUCCAGCUCCAAAAGCGUAUAUUAAAGUUGUUGCAGUUAAAAAGCUCGUAGUUGAACCUUGGGCUUGGUUGGCCGGUCCAUCUUUCUGAUGCGUACUGGACCCAACCGAGCCUUUCCUUCUGGCUAGCCUUUUGGCGAACCAGGACUUUUACUUUGAAAAAAUUAGAGUGUUCAAAGCAGGCCUUUGCUCGAAUAUAUUAGCAUGGAAUAAUAGAAUAGGACGUUAUGGUUCUAUUUUGUUGGUUUCGGACCAUCGUAAUGAUUAAUAGGGACGGUCGGGGGUAUCAGUAUUCAGUUGUCAGAGGUGAAAUUCUUGGAUUUACUGAAGACUAACCACUGCGAAAGCAUUUACCAAGGACGUUUUCAUUAAUCAAGAACGAAAGUUAGGGGAUCGAAGAUGAUCAGAUACCGUCGUAGUCUUAACCAUAAACUAUGCCGACUAGGGAUCGGUUGUUGUUCUUUUAUUGACGCAAUCGGCACCUUACGAGAAAUCAAA